rnacentral:rRNA from 1 species
GAUGAACGCUGGCGGCGUGCCUAAUACAUGCAAGUCGAGCGAACGGACGAGAAGCUUGCCUUUCUGAUGUUAGCGGCGGACGGGUGAGUAACACGUGGAUAACCUACCUAUAAGACUGGGAUAACUUCGGGAAACCGGAGCUAAUACCGGAUAAUAUUUUGAACCGCAUGGUUCAUAAGUGAAAGACGGUCUUGCUGUCACUUAUAGAUGGAUCCGCGCUGCAUUAGCUAGUUGGUAAGGUAACGGCUUACCAAGGCAACGAUGCAUAGCCGACCUGAGAGGGUGAUCGGCCACACUGGAACUGAGACACGGUCCAGACUCCUACGGGAGGCAGCAGUAGGGAAUCUUCCGCAAUGGGCGAAAGCCUGACGGAGCAACGCCGCGUGAGUGAUGAAGGUCUUCGGAUCGUAAAACUCUGUUAUUAGGGAAGAACAUAUGUGUAAGUAACUGUGCACAUCUUGACGGUACCUAAUCAGAAAGCCACGGCUAACUACGUG